AGUGAACGCUGGCGGUAGGCCUAACACAUGUCAGUCGAACGGCAGCACAGUAAGAGCUUGCUCUUACGGGUGGCGAGUGGCGGACGGGUGAGGAAUACAUCGGAAUCUACUUUUUCGUGGGGGAUAACGUAGGGAAACUUACGCUAAUACCGCAUACGACCUACGGGUGAAAGCAGGGGAUCUUCGGACCUUGCGCGAUUGAAUGAGCCGAUGUCGGAUUAGCUAGUUGGCGGGGUAAAGGCCCACCAAGGCGACGAUCCGUAGCUGGUCUGAGAGGAUGAUCAGCCACACUGGAACUGAGACACGGUCCAGACUCCUACGGGAGGCAGCAGUGGGGAAUAUUGGACAAUGGGCGCAAGCCUGAUCCAGCCAUACCGCGUGGGUGAAGAAGGCCUUCGGGUUGUAAAGCCCUUUUGUUGGGAAAGAAAAGCAGCAGGUUAAUACCCCGCUGUUCUGACGGUACCCAAAGAAUAAGCACCGGCUAACUUCGUG
rnacentral:rRNA from 1 species